CCAAUGGCGGCAGCUACACAUGCAGUCGAGCGAGCUCUUCGGAGCUAGCGGCGGACGGGUUAGUAACGCGUGGGAACGUGCCCUUCACUGCGGAAUAGCCACUGGAAACGGUGAGUAAUACCGCAUACGCCCUUCGGGGGAAAGAUUUAUCGGUGAAGGAUCGGCCCGCGUUAGAUUAGAUAGUUGGUGGGGUAACGGCCUACCAAGUCUACGAUCUAUAGCUGGUUUUAGAGGAUGAUCAGCAACACUGGGACUGAGACACGGCCCAGACUCCUACGGGAGGCAGCAGUGGGGAAUCUUGGACAAUGGGCGCAAGCCUGAUCCAGCCAUGCCGCGUGAGUGAUGAAGGCCUUAGGGUCGUAAAGCUCUUUCGCCAGAGAUGAUAAUGACAGUAUCUGGUAAAGAAACCCCGGCUAACUCCGUGCCAGCAGCCGCGGUAAUACGGAGGGGGUUAGCGUUGUUCGGAAUUACUGGGCGUAAAGCGCACGUAGGCGGAUCAGAAAGUUGGGGGUGAAAUCCCGGGGCUCAACCCCGGAACUGCCUCCAAAACUCCUGGUCUUGAGUUCGAGAGAGGUGAGUGGAAUUCCGAGUGUAGAGGUGAAAUUCGUAGAUAUUCGGAGGAACACCAGUGGCGAAGGCGGCUCACUGGCUCGAUACUGACGCUGAGGUGCGAAAGUGUGGGGAGCAAACAGGAUUAGAUACCCUGGUAG
rnacentral:rRNA from 1 species